rnacentral:lncRNA from 1 species
AAGGCAGCCCUGGCCUGCUCACUGAAGCUGGGGAGAGAGGAUGAUGACAAGCUAAGACCACAAAUCUCUCCUGAGGGAGUCAGGGGAGCAGGAGAUGUGGGUGGUGCUGAGCUCCCACUGCCUCCCAGGGCAGAGAGGACCGCAGUCCAGUCCUCAACCUGUGCGAAAGGUUUGGGGAAAUGACAACUGAGAGCUACUAAUGUGUGGACAGAGUCUGCGGCCGUGGCAGGUGGCACACACUGGCAAUGAUGACCAGAGCCACGGUGACAGUGGCAGCCUGCUCCCUGGACUCUGCGUCCCGAAGCACGUGCCAGGCUGCAGCAGCAUCCACAGUGGACAGGGAGCCACGGGAAGCGGGCUGCCAUCAAGCCACAAUUUCACCAGCUCUGCUCUUGGGUGGAACCACUACUUCCCGCCAGAGCUUGCAGAUGAAGCAAAGAGGGGCCAUGGAGGGAUCCAGGGCUGACUGCUUGGAGCCUUGGUUUUCCUGCAUUUUACAAAUGGAGUUGUAGUCAUAAACCUGCCACCUCAUUUAAUUUCCAGUGAUGCUGUAAAACUAAACGAAAUUUUG